rnacentral:lncRNA from 1 species
AUGACUUUAUUGCAGUUUGUGAUUAUAUAUGGGUCUGUGAGAGGAGUGUGUCAACCGUGCAUGCUCCACAAUGUGCCUGGAGAGAUUGAUGUUUUGUCAUCCACCUGCUUCAAAGCUGUAAAACCCGGGAGGCAGCAGCAAACGGAGAGACCUACCCAGCCCGGGAAAAAAACAAACAAAGAGAGACCUUACUGGUGCUGUUUACACAUCUGUGUGGAGGACUAUCUGGGCUUGUGUGUUUUGACAUCGCGCUCAAAUGGCUGCACGGCUCCUGUCUCAGUGAAACGGAAGAUGUAGAGGAGCUGAAUGCUGGAGAGUGAUUGAAGGAGUGAAGCUGAGCCCUGGAUGGAGGGAUCUGCUGGAGGAAAGGAGAGAGAGAGGUGAGUUGGGAAAGUGGUGUGGAGAGCGGGUGGGAGGGAGUAGGAAAGUGGAGAGAGAGAAAGAGAGAGAGAGCUGGAGGAAAUUGGGAAUUUCUACAGUGUUUGUUAUCUAAAGUGGUGUAUUUCUUUGAAACGGUUCCUGGUGAGGCUGGCAUUGCUGCUGAAAGAGGGCAUGCGGUCUCUGUAGUGCCGUAGCUUAGAUGACUGAGAUUUCUUUGAUCACCUUGGUAACCGUCUCCUAAUGUGACUGCUGCUGGUGAAUUGUUGCUGAUCUCAGACCAGAAUUAGGCUGGUCUGACUGUGUAGUGUAUUGUUUACCGGAUGGGGUCAUUGCUGCUUGUCAGUCCAUUAACACCUAGUCUGUCCUCAAGCACAAGGAGAUAAAUAGACAUGUGGAAAUAUUAGCAGGUGUUUCCACAGCAAGGUUAAUACAUUCAUUAUUUAGUUCCUGUGACUGGUAUGACUGCUUCUCAUUGUCUGUGAAAGCUUCUCAUUGUUUGUGUUAAUGGUCCCUUUUCAGUUGAACCAAAAUGAUAUAAUUUGUUGUUGUAUUAUUAGAUUCUUGAAGAAUUGAAAGUUUAACUUUUUUGUACAGUUUACAUUUUCAGCAAUAUUUGUCACUUACUUAAUAUUUUUUUCUGGGCAUCUAGUAAUUUAAUCUUGAAUGUUGAGAUAAGGAGCAUGUUGCAGUGAGGAGAGAGUUGCAGUUGCACAUGCCGACCAAAAGAGGGCAACAUGAUGUCAGAAUUCCUGUUCUGGGUCCUGAAUGAGAUUGUAUGUGUCGGGUUAAACGCGUAAGUAACAAUAAUUUACAUUUACGCUUGGAACGGCUUCCCUCGCGCUGUCAGUCUGCAGUUCAAAGCGCCUUCCACUCUCCUGGCUACAAAGCAGCACCUUGUCACAUGGUAAAGACAGCGAGGCUUGGGAUGAAGUUCUUCACAGUCAAGGUGCCAUUAUGAAAGACCUUGCCUUGGCGUGGAAGCGAAUCAAAACAAGGGGAAAAUUAAAUGUGCCAGUCUCUUCCUCCUGAAACCAUCUCAGCUGCCUGGCUGGGCCUCAGCCAAGGACGUCUGGAUGUUAAACAAACCCUCUUAUAUUACUUUACUUUUAUUACUAUUCUAGUCUGAGUUUGAGUUAUCUUUUAAUUAUAUUUAUAUUUAAGAUUUGUAUCAUUAUCUUUACCAUUGUUGUUAAUGGAAGCUUUGUUAAUGGAAAAUGUGAGAAAUCUCCAAGUCAUCUCUAAAAAUUAUGCAUUUACAAAACACCCCACAUUCAGAUUAAAGCUGUCCAGUUGAAGUGAUCUUUGAUUCG